UACAUGGGGUGCAAACGUUGCUCGGAAUUAUUGGGCGUAAAGCGCACGUAGGCGGUUCGUUAAGUCGGAUGUGAAAGCCCUCGGCUCAACUGAGGAAGUGCACCCGAAACUGGCGAGCUUGAGUACGAAAGAGGAUCGCGGAAUUCCCGGUGUAGAGGUGAAAUUCGUAGAUAUCGGGAGGAACACCGGUGGCGAAGGCGGCGAUUCGUGGGUCGAGUACGUGAGCGCAUGAGGUGGCGAA
rnacentral:rRNA from 1 species